GCUGAAUUUACGCACUAAAGUUUUCUGUUAAAAUAUUUAUUUAAUCUGCUUUUUUCCCACCAAAUUUUAGUUCGACGAAGACCAGCAUUGGACAGUGGACCAAGUUCUUUCAGGCAAUAUUUGUUGACCAGAAAACAUUAGGAUUCUUACCAGAUCAAUAUUCAGACGAUUCAACCAAAAAAAAAACCCACGUAUAAACUGUUUUGACUUGCCAAUUAAUCAACAACCUGCAAGCCUUUUAGUUCUGAACCAUCAUGUCGAAGGCACAGGAGAUCAAAUGGCAGCAUUCCUUGUUUGAUUGCCUAGACAACCCUUACCUUUGUUUCAUCGCUCACUGCUGCCCGUGUGUAGUGCUGGGCAAUUUGUCAAGAAGACUAGGCGAACCGUGGAUUGUGGGCUUCUGCAUCGUGUUCGUCCCUAUAUUCAACUGCGUCGCUUUCGCCAUCAUGCGAGAAAUGCUGAUGGACGCUAAGGGGAUGCCGAAGAACAGGUGCAAAGAGUGCUGCAGGGUGCUAGUCUGUCCUUUCCUCACCUUAAUACAAGAGGCGAAUGACGACUUCAAGCCGCCAGAAAAUUUAGAAAUGGCUCGUACUUAGACGUGUCCUCUGGCGUUGCAUACCUGCGGUAAACUCGCUGAUCUCUGACUUUUCAAGAUAUAUUUUUUAUGAACUUAAAUGUUAGAAGCUAGUGCAGUGGCGUAGCGAGGUCGGGUGUCUAUAUAUUUUGCUAUUUUUUGCCUUGGUGUCACCCCCCUAAAAGGUGUCACCCGGUGCGGUCCGCCCCCCCCCCCAUCGAUACGCCACUGAGCUAGUGUAUUCAAUCAUUAUACCUUUAGGAGCUGGUAUUUACGGAAGCGUUAGCAAAAAAAAAAAUAUGAAUGUUUACAUUUACAUGGGUACUUAUUAACAACAACGAGUUAGUAGAUUUUUUAAACAUCCGGAACUAUUUUAGUUUAAAUAAUAUAAAUUAAAGUUUCGUGUAAGUAAUUGCCAAGAUACUCGAAUAAAGUUACCAUCAGAAAAAAAAAUUAGAAAAUAUCUGAAUACUAACAGCUCCAUCACAUGGAAAAUAUGAAAUUGUUGAACUUCAUAGGCUGUACCUGUUUUUGUUAUUAUUAAUAGGAACAUAAACAUCAUUAGUUUUAAUAUGCCAACAGGAGGGUUUUUUUAGCUUUAAAAGUAAUGUUCACUUAAAGAAUGCUAAAAUUAUAAUGUGUACGGAUAAUGCUUAUCAAUUUUAUUUAUAAUUUUAAUUUAACAUCAUAUUAAAGACAUUUGUAAUC